UAGACUUUUUGUUUAUUUAUUGUUUGAAUAGUUAUAUUAAAAAUAUGGGGAAAACUUUAGUUUAGUAUCCCACGAUUUCGGGUGGGUAUGGUUGGAUAUAGGAGAUAAUCCAGAUUAAGAAUAUAUAUAAUUAUAGCCGCAGCAGAUUAAUUGUAAGCAAAGGGACUUAGCACACCCUGAGAUACAAUUUGGGGUAAAACCCCUCCUUUUUGUAUAUUUCGUUUCAUUUUAAAAUUUUUUAGAUAUAGCAAUGCUUAUUAUUCGACAGCAAGCAACCUUUUUGUUAUUGUGUGAAUUAAUAAAAGAUAUAAUCGAUUGGUCACUUCUCUGCUCGCUAUCUUUGGGCGCUGCUCACCUGUCAAAAAUUUUACAUGUGAAAGCAACAACAAAGUUAUCUAGUUGAAUUCGUACAGGAGAGUAGGCAUCCUAAACGAUUACUACUACUCAGGGAACAUGUAAAGGCACUCCAUUCUAGUAUCACAAAGGACCAUAAGUGGUAUAUGCGUGGCCUGCAGGCCUACCAAACCUAACCUAACCUUUGUUUCGAGCUGCGUCUAUGCUUUAUGUGUUAUUUAAUUAAUUAAAAUGUAUUUCAAAGUAAAAACAACAAACAUAUAUAUUUGUAUUGUCAUUUUUGUCUAAAAUUUGUCCUUUGAGUCGUUUUUACCGUUGUGAAUAGUAUACAUAUGUAAAACACUGGCAGCACUCAGCAAGCGGCGAUAACAUUUUUAAUGAGGAAUCCGUAUACUCUCCUACGAACAGCGCCCAAAGAUAGCGAGCAGAGAAGUGACCAAUUGAUGACAGCUAUUAUAAAGGAAGAAUUGAUUGAACACGAUAUUUAUUUAACAAACGUGAUUUACUUAUUAAACAUUUACAAGAAGAAAAUACCAUCAACUAAAAUAUUUCAAUAAUUAACAGAAAUAUAUGAGUUAGUGUGUAUAUGAAGUCAAGAAUUAAAUCUCUAAGAGGAAGGCAGUACAAGCCAAUGAUCAUCAUCAAAUCAUUAACGCAAACGCAAAACCAAAAACAAUACAUUUUUUGUUACAUAUUUUUUUUUUAUUUUUAUUUUGUACAUAUGAUAAAUAACUUCUGAAAACAAACAAAAAAAACUAUUUAAGAAAACAUUUACCCAACGUUUUUAAUAAAUAGUCUGAAGCUUCUACUUCAAAUACGAUUUCAGCAUCUCUAAUUUUUUCUUUUCAGCAUCCUUAAGUACCUCUAAAAUUGACUGAUUUAGUCUUCUUCUCUCCUCCAUUUUAUUUUCUGCCAACUUUUGUUUAAUUUUUAAUUUCUGCUCAUAAUAAAUUUCACGGGCGGUUUUCCUCCGACGCUUUCGGUUUGAAACUUGAGGCAAUGAUGCCGAUACAGACUGUAUUUGAGACAAUGAAGUUGGUACCGAUGGUGAUUUCAUGGGUGUAUAGGAAGAAGGGGAAGAUGGUGGUGACGAUUUAAUUUCUGGCUGCGGUAUAGGUGAUGAAGGUGGUGAUGUUUUAAUGUGUAAUUCCGGAUAAGUUAGAUCUGGUAUUAAUAUAUCGUCCGCUGUAAAAACUGUAUCUGUUGGUGACAUUGAAAAUGAAUUUUCACUGCUUAUUCCCAUUUGUAGUCUAUGAUCAUU